CAGCCGUUCCCGUGUAGGGAUUAUUAGCCACCCACUACGCGCCCGCCCCGUGCUCGACGUGCAUUCCUCAGCCCCCGCGCCCCCUCCGCUCUCUCCUCCCCCUCCUCGUCCCUGUCCCAACCCUAAUCCUUUUCCCUCUCCACCCCGCAGCCGCCCCCUAGCUCCUCGUCCCCUUCACUCAGUCCAUCCCUCCUCAUCCCAGAUCCAGCGGAUCCGAGGCGUGCAGACACGGAGGCGAGUUUCUCUGGCGCCGGUGGCAACCUGCAAGCAAAGGGCGGCGGCGGCGCUCGAUUUGAUCUGCAGGAGAGAGAGAGAUGGAGAGGAGGGACGCCACCAUGGGAGAACAGGGCCAACUUCGUGGUGGGCAUGGAGGCGCAGAGGAGGAUGGCGAUGGGGGAUGGGAGCAGAGUAGCAGGACUUCCAGGCGGUGCUCGCGUCAUGGUGGAGUGGAGGAGCUCGUCGUCCAUCAUCACAAUCCACAAUCUAGAUCUGAGAUAGAAAAGAAGAGAAAGAAUCUUGUGGAAUUUCAGAUCUGAGAUAGGAACGGGGAGAAAGAAUCUUGUGAAAGAGCCUGACGAAAAAGAAAGGGGUGAAUCACCACUUUCUCCCAUUCAUGUUUGUUUCUGCAUUUUAUUUUUAAGAUGCAGGUUGGCCAACUGUAACAAUAGAAAUAUAUGUGCAAUUUUUGUUUGUGUACUUCAAUAAAAAUAUAUUUUCACUUGACCUCGAGGGCGGUUGCAUCCAGUUAUUGUUUCCGGGAGAUUUAUUGGUGAAGGUCUAAAUAUUUUAAGAUAUAUUGACGAGAUAUCACUCAUGAAGGAAUGCUCAAGGGCAUAAGAUCUAAUGUUCUUCAUGUUAUACAGUCAUCUGGUAUAAAUUGCUAGAGUAGAUAAGAAACAGAUUUCCAACAUAAUAAACAGCUCACAUUCCUUGGUAUUGGCAUAUGGUUCUGAAACUUAAUAUGCACAAUAGAGUAUGUAUUGCAGUCUGGAUUAUAUCAAAGUUUGGUUCAAAAUGAACAAACAUCAGCAUUGUAUCCGUACUGGAUGCAAGUGAUUUGAAUUUUUUCAGUCAGUUAACAAGCAGUUUUCCAAUUAACAAAACGACAGUGUAGAAGCUCUUUUACUAAUGAGAUACAUAAGGUGCAUAAUACUGGUUCAAACAGCAGCAGUUUUUCAACCAGUUAACAAACAGUAGAAGUUUUACUACUGAGAUAAGCACCAGUUUUUCAGUGUACAAACAACAGCAGUUUUACUACUGAGAUAAGCAGCAAUUUUUCAGUCAGCUAACAAGCAACAGUUUUGCAGUAACAUCUUUCAUGUAUACUUCCAAUGCAUAAACAUGAGCAGAGAUACGCUACAGUUUAGGCAAAGAAUGAAUCAAAAAAUUGCAGAGAAGCAGCAAAAUAAGUUCCUUCUUUGAGAGAAUGCAAAUCAGAUAUGUUUGUUUCAGGGUUCAGACUUCAAGAUAACUAAAAUGCAUCCCCUAACUUUUUUUUAGGCAAGAUCCAGUUUCAUUUCUUAUAUUUGUGCUUCUUCAUUGAGUGAUCUCCAACUUUCUAUUGUUUACAAAUUCCAAAUAGAGCUCCUGGUUUGCUGUGUUGAUUGGUACCAUACAUAAGUUGAACUUUGUUUUCAAAUGGAAGGACCUAAUAAUCUACUUCUUAUAUUAUGGGACGGAGUAGUAACAUGUAUGUGUGGCGGCACAAGGAGCAUUUCCUUCUGAAAAAAUAAUAUUAAAGAUAAGUCAAUGACACAAAGUACUGAAUAAAUCAAUACUUCUAAUGAUCUAUAUGAUACAUACUUUCCAUGUUACCUCUACUAUAUAGUUUUACAGUACAAUGUCACAUUUCUGAUCUGUAGUGUACCUCAGUUACUAGCAUGAUAUAAAGUUUAUGGAUAAUUGCCAACAGAGUUCUCAUAUGUUUCUAUGUAUCUGAAUGUUCACAUUCAUCAAGUUUAAGCUUUAUGUAUAGCUUAUGUCUUUGAAGUUAAGCAGUCACACAGUCGUAGGUCCACCGUUUCAUGAUUUUUAAUUUGCUAACUGGGUAAAAGAUUCCUUGUCCUUGGUGAGAUACAUGAAUUCACAUUGUUUCGUACCAGAUGUAUGAAGAACAAAGAUAUCUUUCUUUAUCUUUAUUUUCCUCGACUACAUAUUAUUUAACCGUGUCAUGUUUAUAACCUACUUGACAUCGAUACGGUUCUAUGAGAGGUCAUUGCUUAUGCAUCAGUCCUCAAGGUGGAUGUUGUUCAUUUAGAUAUUACAUUUUGUUGCCAUGUUUCCACAUUAGUCAAAAGUGUUCAUCUCAAUAAUUUAUUAAGAGUGGCUUCGAAUAAUAUGGCAUCAAAACGUUUGUUUUCUCUCCAACCAAUAAUGAAAUGAUAUCUGUGCAUAUAAAACGGCUACCAAUUCUUGGUUUUUAUUAGCUUCUUGAAAAAGGGGCGCAACAGGUCAAUGGACUAUUGUAUUGCUGAUGAUAAUGUUGUUUCGUGUAGAAAGGAAUUUUCUCCUUGCUUUCAUAUGUCGAUAUCAACUCACUGCUUGAUUCAGGUGCUUUUUCGUGUAGAUAGGGUGACAGGAAUAUUCCUGUUAUAUAUUUACCAGUUAGCACAUGUAAUCUGGUACUCUGAUUUCUUUGACACUUUUCUCUUCACGAUGUAGUCAAGGCAAAAGGCAUUAGGAGACCUCCAAUCUGCAGAAUGGCAUGAUUGCUCUCUUCCCCCUUCGGCCCUUUGUGUGGUGAUUUUGCUGCACCUGUGACGAGGAACAAGCAAAUUCUCGCAAGCACACUUCAGCUCCGAAUGAAACCUGACGCACGAUCCGCUAGUCAACAGUGAGGAGACUGAAAGAAGUAGCAUCAGAGAGGAAGGUAAGUCCAGAGGCACUGAUGUCUUAAAUCACACCGUUUUGAAACAAACCGACGAUCAUUACCAAGCUUUCUUCAAGGAAAAAGAACCAGGACAAGACCGAUAUUGAUGGAGCGUUUUUGACCAUAAGUUGUUUCUCUAGUUUAAAUACUGAUGACAGCCAGUCUCCCUGCUUCUUGCCCCAUUUUGUUUGGUGAUGUGUAUCUAAUGUGUACGACAUUCGUAAGAUCAGCUCCCCCUUUUAGCAAGUUACUAGAAGCCGAGAACGGCUGUAGUGCUCAGAUUGUUCUUGUUCUGAGUUGGAGAAGCUAGAGGCACCAAGCAAAAAUGUGGGUCACUCUUUUCGGUGGCAAACAACGUUGCCAGUGAGCAAUAAUUUUUGAAGGGAAGGAACCACAUUUGAGUAUCCCGUUGAUAAAUUUGCAAUUAAGCUAGCGUCUGGCUGGCUGCUGGUGGAAGGCUUGCGAUUCUAAAGAAUCUUUGAUGCAAUGUUGUUUGCCCUGACUGUUCGCUUCCCUGACUUAGCCAACGGCUGAAAUAAAAGACAUUUCAUUUCCAAGUAAUAUUGAAGUUUAGAGACAUUUCAUUUCGUAGCUUGUACUGUUGCUUCAGUGAUAAGAUGUCAUUGGUUCAUUACACAUGAGUGCCUGACAGCCUGAAGCCUCUGCUACCCCCUGCAGUGUUGGUAAUA